CUCUUCAAGAAAUGACAGAUGUCUGGGAAUGGCUCAAUCCAAAAGAGCAAGUUUUACCCAAAUUCCUGCCCUCUGUGAUGACAGCCCCUCAGAGACCAAAACUCUAACAAGAAUUGGUGAGCCGAAGCAUAAACUUCUCUCUUUUCUCACAGGAAGAAAAGCCUUUCUUGGAAGUUCACCAGGCCGAGCAUGUCAAAAGCUCCUGAGGAAGUUGCAGGAGAAAAAAGUCUUGGUUCCAAACCAGGAUAUAUGAGUGGGACCCCUGCUUUCAGUUCCCAAGGAGAAUGAUCGGAAACACUGCAUUGGCUUUUAUCUGCCUGUACCUUUUCAUUGCCGUUGAGUUCUGCAUGUUCGUGUAUGUGAGAGAUGAGCUGGACAUGUUUGAAGGUGAAUUGGAGAGCUACCUCACCUCCGUGAACCAGACGGGGACCCUGACCCCAGUCAUCCUGCAGGUGAAGGAGCUGAUGAGCGUUGCUGAAGAGUUCUGGAGGCUGCGAAGUUCAAGAUCAAGGUGCUGGCAGAUCUGGUGUGUGGAGAGGGCCUGCUUCCUGGUUUGCAGGUGGCCAUCUUGUCUUUGUAUCCUCACAUGCUGGAGAACAAGGAGAGGAAGGAGGCUCUCUCAUGUCUCUUCUUAUAAGGGCACUAAUCCCAUCAUGAGGGCUCCAUCCU